GAGCAAGUGAUACCAUUCUAUAGAAAUUGGGAACUGAACCAAGCUUCUUAUUACCAAGGCGUCUUCAGGAUACUCUUUAUCAGAAACCACCAGUCCCUUCCCAGCCACCUGAAAACACUUAUCUGGAGCCUAUUAUAUGGCAUAACUAGUCCUGGUGAUGGAAUCACCAUCUGCCAUCAUUACUGUGCUGUUCUGCCCCUCCUAGGGACAGAGCCCCAGACUGACUGCCAUCACCCUUCCCCUGAGAGAAAUGAGAGAAAUCCAUAAAGAGAGCAAAAACAGCGCUUCUCCUCUUCAACCCCAUCUCAAGGAUGUAAUUAAGGGCUCUGAGACGGAGGACCUGUGUUCCAGGAUAUCCGUUUAUUAACAGUUGGAAAGAAGCUUAGUUUAAAAGAAGGAGAUAUUUAUCUGUGUGAAUACUGGAUACUUCAAAUAACUGUUUCUUUAAACAGCUUGAUGAAAUAUUUGAACAGAUCCAGAGCAGACCGAAAUUCCACAGGAAAAGGCUCUUCUUACUGAUUUUUUAAAAGUGACUUUGAUUCAGUCCCUGCUCCAAUCUUUAACACCACCUGCUUCUUUCAUUUUUUGUUGUUUGCUUCAUUGUGUCUCUUCUUCUAUGUAUUUGGAAACAGAGAGCGGUUCUUAUUAAGGGAAUGGUAUAUAUUUUCUAUAAAUUAAAAAUAGAAAUAGCCUUCAGGGAGACUUGAAAAAAAUCAAUGUGUGCAUUAAUUACUGCAAUUCAUUACUCAAAUAAAUAUGGGCUCAACCUUAUGUGGAUACAAAUCCCGGGACUGAGAAUGUUUGCAAAAGACAAAGCCUAUGGUCCUGAUCAUGUUAAUCUGCAGAUCAGAGACUCUGUGAAUCCAUGCCUGGUGGAAGCUCCUCAGGGGAUAGGCGAGCUGGGCUCCAUUCCGGUAGCCGGCAGUGAGUUAUUACCGCUGAAUACAAAGCUGGUCACGUGACUGUCACCCACCAGCAGUGGCACAGUCCUUCUCCUGCCUGGGUUUCCUGAGACCUUGCUUUCCCGAGCCCUUGCUUUUCUAUAAUUAAAUCCGAACCGUAAAAGCCAUACCUGUCAAAUGCCCUCCAGCUGCCCUCAUAAACAACACUGGGAAUUUUGCUGGUGGCAACUCCUUGCUUUUGGAAAGAACAUAGGAAAAUAUCCUAUUUGUCCUCCUGGAGACUUCCCUCCUCUAUCUUUUAUUUUAUUUUUCCAAUUCUUCCCACACUGAGCUUCCUCUUCCUUUUUUGGAAUUUGAAUAGGGAACUGGAAAAUAUACAGCAAAUAAAAAUAU
ensembl:lncRNA